rnacentral:tRNA from 1 species
AAAGAAUUAGUUUAAUUUAAAUAACAUUAAAUUGUCAAUUUAAAAAUAUUAUCUACCUUAAUAAUAUUCUUUU